AUGGCGGAGGACGGCGAGAAGGCGGCGGCGGCGGUGGGAGGUGUCGCGGGUGGAGCGGGAGAGGCGGAGCAGGAGCGGGAGGAGCAGAGCGUGAAGCUGUUCGUGGGGCAGGUGCCCAAGCACAUGACGGAGGCGGAGCUGGCCGCCAUGUUCAAGGACGUCGCCCUCGUCGACGAGGUCACCGUCAUCAAGGACAAGGCCACCAAGGCCUCCCGAGGGUGCUGCUUCCUCAUAUGCCCCUCGAGGGACGAGGCCGACAAGGCCGUGAAUGCGUAUCACAACAAGCACACGCUCCCGGGGGCGGCGAGUCCUUUGCAAGUAAAAUAUGCUGAUGGAGAGUUGGAGAGGCUGGAACACAAGCUUUUCAUUGGAAUGCUUCCAAAAAAUGUAGCAGAUACUGAAUUGACUGAUUUGUUUUCCAAAUAUGGAAAUAUCAAGGAUUUACAAAUUUUGAGAGGUUCACAGCAAACAAGUAAAGCUGGAUGCGCCUUCAUUAAAUAUGAAAUGAAGGAGCAAGCAAUGGCAGCUAUUGAGGAUCUAAAUGGGAAGCACAAAAUAGAGGGUUCUAGUGUGCCGUUGGUUGUCAAAUGGGCUGAUACAGAGAAGGAAAGGCAGGCACGGAAAGCACAGAAAGCUCAACUGCAAUCACCUAAUAUGCCGAAUGGACGCCCAAUGCCACAAUCUUCAGUAUUUGGAGCUUUACAGAUGGGAUAUAUGCCUCAGUAUAAUGGAUUUAGUUAUCAGCCUCCAGGGACCUAUGGACUUAUGCAGUACCCUUUAUCUCCUAUGCAAAAUCAAGGCCCCUUUCAGAAUAUGGGUCAGCCUGUUAACCAAGGGAACUCGAUACGAGGAGUCAACCCUGAACUGUCCCCCAACUCAGGUCCUAGAUCAUUUAACCCAAUGCAUUUAGGCAGCCCGUAUCCAGCAGUACCUGGUAUGCAGUACCCUGGAUCCUACCCUGGUGGUCCGAUGAACAAUCGUCCUUUUGGGAAUCCUCACAAUCCCCUUAAAGUUCCAAGUGCAAAUGUCAAUCUUAUCGCAUUUAGUCCCCGUAGCAAUGGCGGUGGCCAAACACAAACAGAAGGACCUCCUGGAGCCAAUCUGUUUAUCUACCAUAUCCCACAAGAAUUUGGUGACCAGGAACUCUCCGAUGCCUUCCAGAGGUUUGGGAGAGUAAUAAGUGCCAAGGUGUUCGUUGACAAAGCAACUGGUUCCAGCAAAUGCUUCGGUUUUGUAAGCUAUGACAACCCUGUGUCCGCGCAGUCGGCCAUCGCCAUGAUGAACGGUUUCCAGCUAGGCGGCAAGAAACUCAAAGUACAACUCAAGAGAGACAACAACAAGCUCAGUAAACCUUUUUGA
rnacentral:rRNA from 1 species